GGCUGCUCUUCAAACGCCUCCGGAUUCUCCAACAUUUCCCGGAUCAGAGGUGGCAUUGGGCCCGGGAUCUCCAUCUUCAAUGUGACCGCCCUUUCUGCUCCUGUAACAAACCACGGAAAAUGGUAUAAAUCAGAAGAAAAUCAUAUCAGCAUGGAGUAUCUCAAGUGAUCUGAAAACAUUCUGCAAGUGGACUGACCUUUGGUGCUGAUGCCACGCAGGUCUGUGAUCUUCAUCAGCAUCCGGGGGAACAUGUGGGGUUUGUUGGGCCGGCGGCGGCGGGCGUAGAUUUUCAGUGCCUCCAGCAAGGGCUCCUGUAGACGAUCUACACGCUGGG